rfam:Salmo salar isolate Sally breed double haploid chromosome ssa29, whole genome shotgun sequence.
AAUGCACCAAUUUGUAAGUCGCUCUGGAUAAGAGCGUCUGCUAAAAAAAAUGACUUAAA